rnacentral:rRNA from 1 species
UACGGAGGGGGCUAGCGUUGUUCGGAAUUACUGGGCGUAAAGCGCACGUAGGCGGACCAGCAAGUUAGGGGUGAAAUCCUGGAGCUCAACUCCAGAACUGCCUUUGAUACUGAGGAGCUUGAGUCCGGGAGAGGUGAGUGGAACUGCGAGUGUAGAGGUGAAAUUCGUAGAUAUUAGGAAGAACACCAGUGGCGAAGGCGGCUCACUGGCCCGGUACUGACGCUGAGGCGCGAAAGCGUGGGGAGCAAACAGG